rnacentral:sRNA from 1 species
UAGAGAUAAAGAGGAUAGAGAACACAACAAAUCGUC